GACGAACGCUGGCGGCAUGCCUAACACAUGCAAGUCGAACGAGACCUUCGGGUCUAGUGGCGCACGGGUGCGUAACGCGUGGGAACCUGCCCUUAGGUUCGGAAUAACUCCCCGAAUGGGGUGCUAAUACCGGAUAAUGUCUUCGGCCCAAAGAUUUAUCGCCUUUGGAUGGGCCCGCGUUGGAUUAGCUAGUUGGUAGGGUAAUAGCCUACCAAGGCGACGAUCCGUAGCUGGUCUGUGAGGAAGAUCAGCCACACUGGGACUGAGACACGGCCCAGACUCCUACGGGAGGCAGCAGUGGGGAAUAGUGGACAAUGGGCGAAAGCCUGAUCCAGCAAUGCCGCGUGAGUGAUGAAGGCCUUAGGGUUGUAAAGCUCUUUUACCCGGGAUGAUAAUGACAGUACCGGGAGAAUAAGCUCCGGCUAACUCCGUG
rnacentral:rRNA from 1 species